GGGAGAGAGAGAGAGAGAAAGAAAGUAUUUGUCUUUCUGGCUUUUAUGAAGUAAGCAACCAUGUUGAGGCAGUCCAUCUGACAAGGUACUGCAGGUGGCUUCUAGAAGCUGUGAGCAGUCUCCAGCUGAUGGCCAGAAAAAAAUGUUGGGGUCUUCAGUCACACAUCCUUAAGGAAAUGAAUUCUGGCACAAACAUGAGAGAGCUUUGAAGCAGAUUCUGAUCCAGUUGAGUUUCCAGGUGAAAAUGGAGUCUAGACAAAACCUUUAUCUCAGCCUUGUGAGAUUCUGAACAGAGGGCCCAGAAUACUGAGUAUGUUCCUGUGUCACCUUAUUUGCCAAUAGUGCCAAUUUUUAGAAUGGAGGGUGUAGAUCCAUCCUUUGCAACUGGUGAGGACCUCCUCAGUAAGGCACUGAGCCAGGAGUCUAUACAGCCAUGCCAA
rnacentral:lncRNA from 1 species